ensembl:snRNA U2 U2 spliceosomal RNA
AUCGUUUCUCAGCCUUUUGGCUAAGAUCAAGUGUAGUAUAAUAAAUCCAGUAGACCAUCUCCUCCCAUUUUAUCCUUUUUUUUCAAAAUUGUUUCAGUUUCU